rnacentral:lncRNA from 1 species
GGAAACAAGCAGGUGACCCCGCGCGGGUCUGCGCUCCCGCCCACGUCCCAGGAUCUCGGCCUCCGACAAGGCUCUGGUUAGAGGUUCCAGGAUCUCGGCCUCCGUCCAGGCUCUGGUUAGAGGUUCCAGGAUCUCGGCCUCCGUCCAGGCUCUGGUUAGAGGUUCCAGGAUCUCGGCCUCCGACCUGGCUCUGGUUAGAGGUUCCAGGAUCUCGGCCUACGUCCAGGCUCUGGUUAGAGGUUCCAGGAUCUCGGCCUCCGUCCAGGCUCUGGUUAGAGCCCGGGCAGCGCGGACAUCGGGGUGCGACCCCAGGCGCGCUGGUGCCUGGCUGAUCCCCGCUGCCCCACAGCCCCGCUGCCCGGUUCCCUCCCGCCGACGUCUCCUAGUGCUCUCCUCUUUCUCCGCCCUGGUCUUCCUCCCUCCACACCACUCCCACGCUCCACGGGGCUCUAGGGCAGAAGGGCUGGGGAAGCCCGAGGACCCCAAUGCCUCCCCAGCGGUACCUGCGAGAUUCUUGCUGUCGCUGCAGCUGCUGCGUCUACUGUUUCUGCUUUGUGGAUGCUCCUCCGCCUGAUCGGGCAAGGCUUCCGGGCCCGUGACUCACAACAGAUUGCACGUUGCUCAGGCCUGUGCUAUCUCUGCCUCGGAAAGCCCCGUGCGGGACCCUGGGAGGAGCCUGCCCCAUGGGUUCCUGGGUUCCAGGCCUCGCCGGUGGCUUAGGGCGGUGUGGGGGCGCCUGGUUCUGGGAGAGUGGUCGUGGAAGGCUUCUUCCAGCAGGGGAUAGGUUUGUUUUUCUGGGUUAGUACGUGCAGUAUUUGUGCUUAGUGUGCCAAUGGAAGAGCAAUUUCAAAGUUGGAACUUAACUUAAAAACAAGGGGAGGGGGGAUAGUAGAGGAUAGGAAAGGUAGCAGAACAUGACAGUCACUAGUAUGGCAAUAUGUAAAUCAAUGGAUGUGUAAUUGAUGUGAUUCUGCAAUCUGUAUAUGGGCUAAAAAUGGGAGUUCAUAACCCACUUGAAGCAAAGUGUGAAAGAUGAUAUAUCAAGAACUAUGUAAUGUUUUGAACAACCAACAAUAAAAAAAAAAAACAAGGAGUUCAAUUUGCUAGUCAGUGGAUUCCAAACUGUUUGGGCCAGAAACCUAUCAACACAAUGUUUGACACAUCCCUGGUGGUUCUUCAUUUAAAUGUGAUGAUGUGCUUACAUUACAUUAGUACAAACACUAUAAAACACAUACACA